CCUACGGGAGGCAGCAGUGAGGAAUAUUGGUCAAUGGACGAGAGUCUGAACCAGCCAAGUAGCGUGAAGGAUGACUGCCCUAUGGGUUGUAAACUUCUUUUAUAUGGGAAUAAAACGUUCCACGUGUGGGAUUUUGUAUGUACCAUAUGAAUAAGGAUCGGCUAACUCCGUGCCAGCAGCCGCGGUAAUACGGAGGAUCCGAGCGUUAUCCGGAUUUAUUGGGUUUAAAGGGAGAGUAGGUGGAUUGUUAAGUCAGUUGUGAAAGUUUGCGGCUCAACCGUAAAAUUGCAGUUGAAACUGGCAGUCUUGAGUACAGUAGAGGUGGGCGGAAUUCGUGGUGUAGCGGUGAAAUGCUUAGAUAUCACGAAGAACUCCGAUUGCGAAGGCAGUUCACUGGACUGCAACUGACACUGAGGCUCGAAAGUGUGGGUAUCAAACAGGAUUAGAUACCCCGGUAGUC
rnacentral:rRNA from 1 species